rnacentral:misc_RNA from 1 species
UUUCCGUAGGUGAACCUGCGGAAGGAUCAUUAUUGUAUACCCAAGGUGCGAGGGCUGUCGCUGACCCGAAAGGUCGUGCACGCCCGAGUUCCCGCACACAUAUCCAUCUCUCCCCUAUGUGGACCACCGCGUGGCUCCCCCUUUGGCCUGUUCGGAGGUGGGCUUACGUUUUCACACACACUUUGUAUUCAGUGUAGAAUGUAUUUUUUGUUUUUGCGAUCACGCAAUCAAUACAACUUUCAACAACGGAUCUCUUGGCUCUC